CAGCCGCCGCGGUAAUACGUAGGGUGCAAGCGUUAAUCGGAAUUACUGGGCGUAAAGCGUGCGCAGGCGGUUAUAUAAGACAGAUGUGAAAUCCCCGGGCUCAACCUGGGAACUGCAUUUAUGACUGUAUAGCUAGAGUACGGCAGAGGGGGAUGGAAUUCCGCGUGUAGCAGUGAAAUGCGUAGAUAUGCGGAGGAACACCGAUGGCGAAGGCAAUCCCCUGGGCCUGUACUGACGCUCAUGCACGAAAGCGUGGGGAGCAAACAGGAUUAGAUACCCCUGUAGUCCCUGUCUCUUAUAC
rnacentral:rRNA from 1 species